rnacentral:rRNA from 1 species
AUUGAACGCUGGCGGCAGGCCUAACACAUGCAAGUCGAGCGGGGUUUUCGGACCUAGCGGCGGACGGGUGAGUAAUGCGUAGGAAGCUACCCGAUAGAGGGGGAUACCAGUUGGAAACGACUGUUAAUACCGCAUAAUGUCUACGGACCAAAGUGUGGGACCUUCGGGCCACAUGCUAUCGGAUGCGCCUACGUGGGAUUAGCUAGUUGGUGAGGUAAUGGCUCACCAAGGCGACGAUCCCUAGCUGGUUUGAGAGGAUGAUCAGCCACACUGGAACUGAGACACGGUCCAGACUCCUACGGGAGGCAGAAGUGGGAAUAUUGGACAAUGGGCGCAAGCCUGAUCCAGCCAUGCCGCGUGUGUGAAGAAGGCCUUCGGGUUGUAAAGCACUUUCAGCGAGGAGGAAGGGGUGAGUGUUAAUAGUACUCAUCUUUGACGUUACUCGCAGAAGAAGCACCGGCUAACUCUGUGCCAGCCGCCGCAGUAACAC